UACGGAGGGUGCAAGCGUUAUCCGGAUUCACUGGGUUUAAAGGGUGCGUAGGCGGGUUGGUAAGUCAGUGGUGAAAUCUUCAAGCUUAACUUGGAAACUGCCGUUGAUACUAUCAAUCUUGAAUGUUGUGGAGGUAAGCGGAAUAUGUCAUGUAGCGGUGAAAUGCUUAGAUAUGACAUAGAACACCGAUAGCGAAGGCAGCUUGCUUCACAAUAAUUGACGCUGAGGCACGAAAGCGUGGGGAUCAAACAGG
rnacentral:rRNA from 1 species